rnacentral:rRNA from 1 species
AUUGAACGCUGGCGGCAGGCCUAACACAUGCAAGUCGAACGAGAGGCGGACGGGGGAGGAAUGUGUGGGAAACUGCCUGAUGGAGGGGGAUAACUACUGGAAACGGUAGCUAAUACCGCAUACAAUCAGAUGGGCCCAGAUGGGAUUAGCUAGUGGGUGGGGUAACGGCUCACCAAGGCGACGAUCCCUAGCUGGUCUGAGAGGAUGACCAGCCACACUGGAACUGAGACACGGUCCAGACUCCUACGGGAGGCAGCAGUGGGGAAUAUUGCACAAUGGGCGCAAGCCUGAUGCAGCCAUGCCGCGUGUAUGAAGAAGGCCUUCGGGUUGUAAAGUACUUUCAGUGGGGAGGCGUUACCCGCAGAAGAAGCACCGGCUAACUCCGUGCCAGCAGCCGCGGUAAUUC